AUGAGAAAACUGAGGUUCCUGUCACAGGACUCAAACCUUAUUCCAACCAGUAAGCUGCCUCUUACUCCAUGACACACGGAUGCCUCUGGACAAAGCUGACCAUAGAAGGGCCUUCCAGAAUUGAUCUUGCAGCCUGCCUCCUUGGCCUACAGGGCUUUGCCCUGGAGACAUCAAUAAGAGACUCAGUUUACUUCUGUCCAGAAACCAGCAGGGCCUCCUUGCCCUCAGGCCAAGGAUUUACCUACCACUCUUCUCUGAAUCAGAGGUCUUCUGCAUGGCUGGCAUUCACCAAAGACAAGGCAGCAGCUGGAGAUCAGGUAAGUUGGAAAAAAGUGAGCUUCUGGAUUUUUUUUUUUUCCUGUCUUCAGGAGACAUGAAGGUGUAUCCUGGCAGUGGAAAUGGCAUGAACUUGGAUCUUACCCUAGCCCCAUCACUUCCUAGCAGUUGGCCUUGGGCACAUCAUUUAGCAUUUCUGAGCCUUAACUGCUUCAUCUGUUCAAGGGAAAUGAUUAAUACCUACCACUAAGGUUGUGACCACUGGUGCACAGGUAAAUAUCUGAUAACUGGCUUCCAGAAGGAAAACUCUGAUUUGCAGCAUUUGCCAAUUGCUGUGGUGCAAAGACUCUCACUGUGGCCAGUUUCAAGCUACCAAUAUGAGUUCACUGAAUGCAGAGUUAGGAAAAGAUGUGCAGACAGAGGUACAGUAGCAAAUACCAUAUAGUAUCUUCCCCACAUAGAAGUAAUAGACGUAAAUAAUCUCUAUAGCAUAGAUAGUAGAAUAAUGCAGUCAAUUGAUUAAGUGAGGAGUUCUGAAUACUUAUUUCCUUUGUCAUUAACAGAAUUUAUUUAUUUAAUUGUAAGUUUAUAUAAUUUCUUUUGAAAAAAUAAUAGCUGUGUCUCUCUGCUCUUUCAGAGUUUAUACCCCAGGGCAGCGGUCCCCAACCUUUUGGCACCAGGGACUGAUUUCGUGGAAGACAGUUUUUCCACAAACCAUCAUGAACGUCAUCAUGUUGGGAGCCCUAGCAGAGGGACAGAUUAAGGAGCUGGGUUCAAGCCAGGUGCAAGCAAGCAAGCGAGGGCUGUAGUUUGAGCUGGAAGAUUGGGAGGGGUUUGCUUCAGGCUGAUGAGCAGCCCCACCCUUAAAAGAAAAAAAAAAAAACCCAGAUAGGAACUCUGGGUCUGCUCCUUGCUUGGGAUGUAAGUCUCUCCUCUCUCUCUUUGGGAACAAGGGCCAAGAGGACAAAUCGAUGAGCUUGAAAAGUGAGAGCAGGUCAAUGAUGUGAGGCCCUGUCUGCCUUCCUCGAGGGGCAGGCGGCAGUUGUGGGGCCUCACAGCCCACUACCGUCCGCCUGGAGAAUUGUGAACUCACGGGUGGUGGGAGUAAGAACCUCCCCCGCGAUGCAGGGCAUCAGCCAGAGCUGCACUUCAGAAAAGAUCGGUCGCCUGGAUAAGGAACAGAUGCGGUUGCUCAACCCAACCUGUCCUUAUCGCCAGGGACCCAGCCCAACGUCCUCUGUGUCUCCGACAGAAGCACCAGGACACCAGGAGGUGACCAGCUCAUGUCCUCAGAGCUGAAACUGUGGGGAGUUGAGACUGUUGUCUUCAGCACCCCCCACCAGGAGGUGGUGCCCACAGGAGCCCACAGGAGCAUCACGGCUCCACUCCAGACAGGAGGAAGAGGCAGGGAAGUGUGACUCCUGUAAAGGGCUGUGAAGAUUCCUAAAGAGCUGCACGCACGAGCUGCCUUGCUAUUCCAGUCUGAGCCCGGGUUUUUCUUAAACAAGAAAUGACCAAUUAUCGUUCAUUCUGAAGGUACACCCAACCGGCUCAUCAGCUUGGCUGGCCACCUUUGAUCUGCCUCCAGAUGCAGCCAGUACUCCCAUUGCUACCUCCCAACUUCCUCUUUCCAAGCUGCAAAUACAGUAACAAUAGUCUUAACUGAGUGUCAGGCACUUCUUGGGCAGACUCUCAUUUAAUCCCCACCACAGCCCCUGAGGUAGGUUUUAAUGUAUCCUACCCAUUUUAUAGAUGAGAAAACUGAGUUCAAAUAAGAGAAUAGACCCAUCCACGGUCACCCAGCUGGUAAGCAGCUAAAGCCAGGAUUGAAACCCAGAUCUCUGUGGCUCCAAAGCCCACUUGCUGCCAGUAGCCAAGAAUGCCCCCUGUUUCUCUGAAAAGUUACCUACCCCUGGGGGCAGGGCAGGACAGGGGUGAGGCAAGCACCGGGCAAAAUGUAAGAAGGCACUCAGGCUCAUGAUCAUGCCACUGUUGGGCUGGGCCCUGGCAUGACUCCGUGAGCAAGUGCCUCCUUGAAUUCUGAGCCCUGGGCACCUGCCUCAGCCCCGCCUCUAGGUAAACAGCCAGGUUUAGUAGCUUAUUGCACACACCAAGUUCAGGGCAGGUCCUACACAGGAAGAAUGUUCUGGUCAAACCAGCUGUGACCAGAGUUUCUUUCUCCCAUAAUUACACCGGUGCAAUUUUCAGACCCCACCCCACCUCACCAGGGACUCUCAGCCUAGGAAAGAACCCCUGAGACAGCAGGUUCUAUCUCUCGGACCUCCCUCAGCACAGCUACCUGUGAGCUGGCAGCAGAGGAAGCCAGCGCUUGCCUUCUCUUCCAUCUUUCACCACAUCCCUCCCCUGCAGAUAUGUCCCUUUUGGGGGGUGAGUUUGGGGGGACACUAAUCACCCCCACUGCACAGAAACGGGCCCCACCCUCAGCCCUCGAGGAGCCUUCUCCUCCACUCUCUCCUACUCCCCGACUUGGAGGCUGUGAUGGUCAAUUUCAUGUGUCAACUGGAUGAGGCCACAUGGUGCCCAGAUACCUGGUUAAGCACUUUCUGGGUGUGUCUCUGAGAUGUUUAAGGAUGAGAUUAGCAUCGGGAUGUGUAGACUGAGUAAAGCAGAUGGCCCUUCCAUAUCCAAUCCCUUGAAGGACCGAAUAGAACAAAAAGACAGAGGAAGAGAGAAUUCACUCUCUGCCUGCUAGUUUUUGAGUUGGACGCAGUUUUCUCCUGUGAUUGGACUGGAACUUACACCACCAGCUCUCCCAGGUUUCCAGCUGACAGAUGGCAGGCUGUGGGACUUCUCAUCCUCUGUAAUUGUGCAAGCCGAAUUCUUGGAAUACAUCUCUUUCUCUCCCUCUCAAUAGAUGGAUAGAUAUAGAUAGAUGUAGGUUAUGUGACAUCUAUCUCAGAUCUAUAUUUAUGAAUGUCCGUUGGUAUAUGUGGGGCUUGGUUCCAACAGAUACAAAUUUCAAAUAUGUGUGUUUCCUGGUGGCCUACUGGUUAGGAUUCUGGGCUUUAGCUACCACAGCCCAGUUUUGAUUCCAGGCAAAAAAAAAAAAAACACAAAACACCCAACAAAGAUGCUAAAGUUCCUUAGCAUGGCAUAGCACAGUGAAUACAAGCAGCCCUCUGUGUUCAGGGGUGUGAAGUCCGCAGGUAGGGAAGGCUGGCUGCACACCCAGAUCUACAUGUGGAUUCAUCUAUAUCACGUAUAGGCUUCCCUGGUGGCUCAGUGCUAAAGAACCCACCUUCUAAUGCAGGAGACACAGGUUCGAUCCCUGGGUUGGGAAGAUCCCCUGAAGAAGGAAAUGGCAACCCACUCUAGUAUUCUUGCCUGGAAAAUCCUAUGGACAGAGGAGCCUGCCAGGCUACAGUCCAUGGAGUCACAAAGAGUCAGAUAUGACUUUGUGACUAAACAACAAUAACAUAUUAUGUCUAUCCUACAUGUAGGAUAUCUAUUUCAUAUCUAUAUCUCUCUAUACAGAACUACCUAUAUAGAUACAAUGACAGAGACACGUGUCUCCAGAUAGAGAGUUUGUUUCUCUGGAGAACCCUAAGACGGAGGCUUUUCUUUCCCCCAAGGGAAGAGAAAGGUCGCUUCCAAGGGUAUUUGGACGGAGGGGCAGACAUUCCCUGUGCUGGUAGCCAGUUCCCUCUUCACCCCGGGGCUCUCCUGAUUUCUGAGUAAGUGUGGGGGAGGGUGAGUCUAGGCCGGAUCCUCCCCUCAUCUGAACCGCACUUUCCAUGGAAAUAAACUUUCCCAAGGAGGCUCGCUGCCUCCUGCU
ensembl:lncRNA